GGCGGACGGGGUGGAGCUGCCUGUGAGUAAUGGAGGAUUAGAUUUUGGAUAAUCCAGGACAGAAGGUGCCAGAAGGUAAUCAGCUGGUAUGGAUGUCCACUAACUUACUUCAGUCUGUUGUUUCUUUGUGACCGCUGCAACCCCCCUCCACCCCAGCUACCUCCUUUGCAUCGCAUCAGUGUCCAGGCCCAGCUCCUCCGUGACAUCCCGCAUCCCUUCAUUUCUUCUUCCAAGCACUUGAUGGCUUUCCUUGCAGGCUCAGGAAGAACAAGAAUGUGUGCUGUUCCUACUUGAUACUUUCCACUAAGGCUUGAGGAAGGGCGGCGACAUCCCAGAACAGCCACACCACCAAAUAUAAGACAUAGCAAUAAGAGCAAAGUUAAUAACUGCUAAU